rnacentral:rRNA from 1 species
AGAGUUUGAUCAUGGCUCAGGAUGAACGCUAGCGGCAGGCUUAACACAUGCAAGUCGAGGGGUAUAGUAGCAAUACUAGAGACCGGCGCACGGGUGCGUAACGCGUAUGCAAUCUACCUUUUACAGAGGGAUAGCCCAGAGAAAUUUGGAUUAAUACCUCAUAGUAUUAUAGAAUGGCAUCAUUUUAUAAUUAAAGUCACAACGGUAAAAGAUGAGCAUGCGUCCCAUUAGCUAGUUGGUAAGGUAACGGCUUACCAAGGCAACGAUGGGUAGGGGUCCUGAGAGGGAGAUCCCCCACACUGGUACUGAGACACGGACCAGACUCCUACGGGAGGCAGCAGUGAGGAAUAUUGGUCAAUGGACGCAAGUCUGAACCAGCCAUGCCGCGUGCAGGAUGACGGUCCUACGGAUUGUAAACUGCUUUUAUACAGGAAGAAACCCUGGCUCGUGAGCCAGAUUGACGGUACUGUAAGAAUAAGGAUCGGCUAACUCCGUGCCAGCAGCCGCGGUAAUACGGAGGAUCCAAGCGUUAUCCGGAAUCAUUGGGUUUAAAGGGUCCGUAGGCGGUCUUAUAAGUCAGUGGUGAAAUCUCCCCGCUCAACGGGGAAACGGCCAUUGAUACUGUAAGACUUGAAUUAUUAGGAAGUAACUAGAAUAUGUAGUGUAGCGGUGAAAUGCUUAGAUAUUACAUGGAAUACCAAUUGCGAAGGCAGGUCACUACUAAUUGAUUGACGCUGAUGGACGAAAGCGUGGGGAGCGAACAGGAUUAGAUACCCUGGUAGUCCACGCCGUAAACGAUGGAUACUAGCUGUUGGGCGCAAGUUCCAGUGGCUAAGCGAAAGUGAUAAGUUCCCCCUGG